UACGAAGGGGGCUAGCGUUGCUCGGAAUCACUGGGCGUAAAGGGUGCGUAGGCGGGGCUUUAAGUCAGGGGUGAAAUCCUGGAGCUCAACUCCAGAACUGCCUUUGAUACUGAGGAUCUUGAGUACGGGAGAGGUGAGUGGAACUGCGAGUGUAGAGGUGAAAUUCGUAGAUAUUCGCAAGAACACCAGUGGCGAAGGCGGCUCACUGGCCCGUAACUGACACUGAGGGACGAAAGCUAGGGGAGCGAAUGGG
rnacentral:rRNA from 1 species